UGGAACAAUUAGUCUCACUUUUGUUCUUGUAUCAAAAUCAACACCAUCUUCAGCAUGAAACUCACUAAAUAAUUUAGCAAGAAUAAGUUCCACAGCCUUUAUCACAUCAUCCAAGGUUCCAGAUAUCAUAAUUAUCCUAUCAGAGGUUCCUGGGAAAAAUUCAUAAUUGCGUGACAACUGAAUUCGUGCUCCAGACUGCGACUGAAAAUCAGUAAUUGUGGCACCACCCUUUCCAAUAACUGAACCAGCUGCAGCAUUUGAAACAAGAAAUCUAAUGUAUGUUGCCUUCUCAACAGAAUCAGAAGUCGGCGAUUUCGGCGGUGGAGGAGAUCUCUUGCGCGGCGCCUCCGGUGACGACACAUAAGAAGACUCCGUGGAUUCCAUUGCCGUUAUCUUCUUCACUACCUCAAUGGCAGGAGAGCGAGAGAUGAAGAGAGAAGAGAAUGUAGUGUUGGUUCAGCGUUCAAGUGAAAGGAAUUGAGUUGUUUCUGUGGUGCGUGAGAAGCUGAGGGCUGAGCUGAGGUAAGAGAGAGAUCUGGCAGGCGUCAAGUGGCCUC
rnacentral:misc_RNA from 1 species